AUGCUCACGGGCAACAACAAUGGGCAAAAGAAUAAAGAGCGAAGGCGGCGCUAUCGCAUAAUUCAAAAUUCAUUUCGAAGGCGCACAAAAGGCGCCCAUGGAAUUAAAAUGGAAAUGGAAUUGGAAUUGGAAUCCAAGCCAGCGACCACAUAAUAAUACAUAUUAUUAAUAAAAGAGAGAGAGAGAGAGAGAGAGAUGCAUGGGCGCAUAC
ensembl:ncRNA lncRNA:CR44508 long non-coding RNA:CR44508